UGGAAUACCACCCUUAAAUCAAGAAGUUAAACAUGUAGGUAAUUAUACUUCGCGCCGAUAUUAGUACAUUAUUGCUGAUGCCGGGAAACGGCAAUUUGUAGAUGAGUUCGAUUUUAUCGGUCGAAUUGCAAUUCCUGCCGAGGCAUAUAUAGUGCUUUUCUCUAAACAUGCGAGGAAAUGAGGUAAAAUAAUCAUUAGUUAAGCAUCAAGCAUCACUCAAAUCGAACCUUCAUAUCAAAAACGUCAAAAGCAAUUUCCCUCUUAUUUUUAAAGUGAAAGGCACAACCGGUACCAUUUCUACUUUUAAACCAACUAUGAGUUACCGAAGUUGGCUUCCCUAUAUAUUAACUUUUUCAUUGUGUGUAUAUAUGUACAAUUAAUAGAUUGUAAUGUGGUACGUCCCACAACAAAAAAGGGAAAAAUAUUAACAUUUGGUGAGGUCAAGUUUAAGUAACUUAUAAAUGGGAUAUGUACCUACGUAAGUACUACUUAGGUAUCAAUAUCAAAUCUUGCUUACAUUUCAAUCCCACUAUCGGUCUGAUUCUAAUUUUAAUAAACGUCUCUCGAUAUGAUAUGGAUCGGAUCUGUCCGUGUCAAAAGUGACGUUUUUGUUCGAAGAAACGUAUCGAGAUCAAAUUUUUGACGUUUAUUGAAAUUAGAAUCAAGCCGUAAGUCCCAACUAAUCGAAUAAUACAGACAAAACAAUCACUAUGAGUUCCCCAAUGUUAAGGAUGAAAAUAUGGUUUGACAAGUCACGUCAUAAGACAGGCCAAAGUUAUUUUUUACCCUUUUAAAUCCCGCCAAAUAAGAAAAGCUACAUUGCAAUAUAAAUCAAAAACCGAUAAUAAAUAUGAUUUAAGGUUGAAUUUUCUUUGUUCAAAAUUCCAAAGCGUCAAUGAAAAUACUAUGUUAAUUUUGUUUAUUUUUAAAUUUAUUCGUAUUUAAGUAUGUUGAGCGUGACGGCACUAGGCACUUUCGUGGGAUCUAACAGGCCAGGCCAUUCACAUGAAGGGAUCUCUCUUACUAAAUUUCCUACUGCCGCCGCAUGUUUUCGGCCACUUUUAUCCUGAAAAUGUACUUAUCAUUUAUUCUUAAAAUGAAGUUUUUAGAACCAGUUGGUAGGUACCUAUAAUUCUUAAUAUUUUCUUAACUUCGUUAUAUAAUUAUUCUAGAAGCAUUAAAGAUCCUUUAGUUUCAUACGACUCUUAUCUUGUCCACUUUUAUAAUAAUUUGAGAAAUUCUCGUAUUUAUUAGUAGGUAGUUUUAAUGUGCAAUUUUGCAUACGCUUGACCAAGUAUUUACUCGUAGGUAAGUAGCUAUGUCCGCCGUAACUUGACAUGAGAGAGAUACGUAGGUGAUCGGUGUGUGAGUGAUGCGUUAGCAUAUCGACGGGCAAUUUUCGCAGAUCUUAUUAAAUAGCAUAGUUAUACAUGCUAUUAUAAACAGUUUUUCAUAUAAUCUUUUAAUGACAAGACAACAUUUAAUAUUAAACCUCAGAGGCUAAACCGCUCGCGAAAGUUACCCGUGGCUAUAUUUUGUGUUCAUAGUUAGAUAUUUAUUGCGACUGCGGCCAUGUUCCGUAGCGUAGUGUGAGAUUGUUGGCUUCCUGACGAUUUCUAGCGGAGACGCUGCCUUGCCCCAGACUGUCCCCUUAUUGGGUCUUAUGAACUUCACUUAAAGUGCGCCGAAUCGUUAGGCUUAGUGAUUGUUAAGGCAAUUUGAAUGGUUAGGGCGUAUACCGUCCAGUGGGAUAACUGGGGACAGGAGGGAUAACAUUAGACAAAGGAAAUAUUCCCCCAUUAUAUGGGAUCUACCAGCCUGUUAAUAGGGUAAAUUUUUAACUAGCCAGAUUAGUUCAUAGGUAAAAAAAAAUUGUCUAAUGAUACCUCUAUGUUCCCAGUUAAUCUACUGGUCGGUAGUUACUGUUAUGAUUUUUUUUUUCAAUAUAGUUGUAAAAGUUCUCAGAAAUUUUCACAAGAAUUAAUUAAGUCUCGAUUUUUUUUGAAACUCAAUUAUCUCUUCUAUAUUAAAGAAUGUUGUUUUUGACACAUGUGGAAAACUUCGCAGUUGAAAACUUUGCCUAGAAGUAUAUAUAUCAGUAGAAGUAGUAAAAUAUUCCUUUGCGAUAUUAAGUCUCAUGCGCUAUAUGCCCGAAUUGUAAAUCCAUAUCGCUUUUAGUCCUAUUCAAAAAUGUCUCGAUUUUCGCAAAACAUUCCUUUAAACGUUAUGGAUGGGAUGUUUAGCAAAAGGGAUAGGGAGUCAUUUUGCAACUGGGUCAUUAUGCGCCCUAAUCAUAAAAAUGUUAAAGUUUUAAGUUUGCGUGUAGCCGAACGUGGAAAUCACCGCCACGAUUGUUCACAAGCAAAAUACAACUUUAAAUGGGCAGUGUAAGGUUAUAUUUUCUAAAUCACUAAGGGUGGUAUUCCAUCUGUCCAAUAUCUUGGUCCAAUGUGAUUGCGUCUCACUCUCUCAUUAAGCACAAUGUGACAAAAUACACAUUGGACAUUAGUAGUUUGUGUUACAAGGGAUCAAAAUGAUAUAUUUCCGUCAAGGGCGUACAUUGGAUCCUGAAUGAAGCGAUGGAUUCUACAAUAGAAUCCCGAACGUAGUGAGGGUUUCUAAAGUACAAUCCUGAGCGUAAUGAGGGAUUCAAGUGUUAACGCCCAAGACGAAAUAAUUUUGAUACCGUGUGACACAUACUGCUUUUCACAUCAACUAUGAGGAAAAUAAAAAAAAUCUUAGUGUUGACACAGUUAUUAUGUUUCAAAAUAUAUUUCAAGCUAAAAAAAGAAUGCAAAAAAUGACAAAAACAGUGUCCUAGAACAGAAAAGUGCCACGUUGAUCCCCCUUAGCAGGGAGGAAAAGUGCCACUUUGAUCCCUCCUAGCGGGGAAGAGAAAGCCCUUUUCCGAAUAGGUGAUGUGAAAAGAAAUUAGACAGGUGGAAUACCACCCUAAGUUACGCAACAGUUACGCACGCCUCGCGUGGGGGAUAUGUUCAGGUAGAACGUUUCUAGCGCCACGCAGCGCGUCUGCAACUGGAUGGUGCUGCCAUCUGUCCACCGAACCUGAUGUGGCGGGAAAUACACUCUGGAUGUAUCCAGGGGACGUAUUAUAACAUUCCAAUCGGUACCGCGUCUUGCCCCGCCUUUGUUCCGAGCUCGUAUUUCUCGACCGCUCCAUUAUGCGUAUUCUAAACAUAAUGAUUCCUACAAGAUUUGACUAUUUUUAAUACUGUUUCUAGUUGUGUACAUAGAGACAAUUUAUAUUUCUACAUUAAUAGUUAUUGUUAUAUUAUGUACAGUAGGAUAUUUUUAUAUAAAAAAAAACUUUGUGUAAAUAACUUGUAUGUACUAAGACUGUUGUUUAUCUAGAGCUUUUAAUUUGUUCAGUUAAAUUACUAAUAGGUAUUAGAAAUAAAUCAUGUAUUUUCCAGUCAUUUUGUGAGAUGCGAAAUUUCUCAUAUACUUUUGACUUUCUUGCCAUAUGGAUCGGAAUGAGAUUGUUUGUAAUAAGAGUAUAAAUAGGAUGCAGCUUUGAGAUAACGCGUUGUCUGUUAAUACAAAAUAUGAGUUUACUAGAUAAACGAUUAGAAAAAAUAAUAACGUCAUAUUAUUGCAUUAACAUGUGCGUUUAGCCUGCUUCGGAUCUGAUAAUUACAAAAUGAUGGCAAAAAUUAUAAACAUUGUCUGAUACAUUCAGGUUACUUGUGUUCUCAUACUGUACCUACAGGAAUAAUAAUAUUUUAUUUCAAAAUGAAACGUGCAAGCAAGAGCAUAGACACACUUCCAUUUCUCUUAACUAUAGUUAUGAGCACGUGAAAAAAGCAAGACAAAAAUAUUUAAUUUUACUUUAAUUUAUUAAUUACUAGCUAGUCCAUUAUCAACGAAAUAUAGUAUUACCAAGCAUUAUUCUAUUAAUUUUAAUUGGAGAAUUAUCAAGCUUAUCUUUGGAUAUUAUGUUUAUAUUUACAGACUAUACAGUCAAGAGUAGGUACCUAUGUAGUAUAAAGAUGGUUUUCUCAAAUAAAUACAAAUGCAUUAUGUCAUGGCACUGUUUUUCUGACAUAGCUUAAGAGUUUAAUUUGACCUAAGUAAAUUUUUUCCUUGACUAGUUUAUUGUAUUGUAUUUCAAAUGCAUUUAUGUUUUUUGUGAUAUCGUUCUAAAUUAAACUAGGGGGCGCCACGCGUGCUGGCGCAAGCCACGAUGACUUGGAAAUACAUAUUGAUGUGUUGUUUUAUUAAAUAAAAAUAACAAAUUAUUUAAUAUAUCAGUUGUUUUAUUAGUCAUUUCAGAUUAUCUCUAUAAUCUCGAGAUUUUUUUACUAUCUAUACAAUUUGGUAAAUUGCAUAUAAUUCAACCUACAUGUGCGACUAUUGGCUAAUAACAAAACUGUUAAUUGUAUUCUACUGUAUUUGCUCGAGGACAUACUAUCAGGCAAUAGUAUAGGUACCUACCUAAACUUUUUUGUCUUAGAGGCGUCUUUUAUGCAUAAAUUCAUACAAAAAAUUUAGUUUGUACAUUUUUCAAAAACUUACACUAGAUUUUUUUUUACAAAAGAGGUUUGAUCAGAAGAGUCAGUGAUACAAAGAUUUUUCCUUCCUGUGUCCAAGAGUGUUUGGUGAAAGACUAUAUUAUUUUCACUGACAGUCGACACAGACCCAAAACUAUAUUAUUGGGGACGGUUUUGGCAGGUAAAUGUCAGUCAAAAUUUACGCCCAAUAUCCUUCAUAUAUUUGAGAACAGAGGAGACGCGCGCGCCUUCUCCUCCUUUGGUUUUUCUGUGUGAGAUGGUUAUACCACGUAUCGGAAAUACCACCGCUUAAAAGCUCAUUUAGAUGGUGCGAGAACUCAUAAGCGAAUUUCGUUACAUUGCGGUAGGUAUUAGAUCGAUCGGUUGAACUGGCUGUACCAUCGCCCACUGUUAACUGUACAUCGGUGGACCUUAAGCCUUUUGCAAUAAGGUUCACCGAUGUACAGGUAGAAGUAAUGCUGUUUGUACCUCAUUAGUUGACAAUGUAACUUAAUUUAUCGCCCCGUAUGUCUGAGCUUUUACUCUCUAUACAUAAAUAAAGCCAGCAGAGUAAAGAUGCGGGCUUUUUACUGUUUCGCUACUACUUUCUAUACACUUUAUACUCGCAAUUUGAGCCAAGGUUCCAUUGUUACCUCACCCUGUGGGUAAGAAACCCGGUGUGCCUGGAACCCGGAGGAUUUUAACCACGCUUUCACGAGACCAAAAUAAUUGAUUGUUAAAACUAUCACUUAAAAUGAACUCGUAAAGAUUUUUUAUUGUAAGGACCAAUUUUUCCUUGUCACUUUGAUGUCAAUAACGAUAAACAAACUAAACUAGUCAACAUAGUGACACACUACAAGCGUUUUGCAAUGAUCAUGAUCAAAAAAUGUUAUCGACCUCUGAAAGUAGGCCUAGAACAGAAAACUUUGUGCGACAUUUUAGUCUCCAAAUAUAAUCAGGAAUACGUUGUUAAAAUCAUCCCGGUUCCUCCGGGGCAUGUUGUACAAUAUUAUAACAUAACACACACAAAACUCACGCUGUGUGAAGUAUUUCGAUUCGGUUAUCGCAGUCUCACAAAUAGCGACUUUAUUUUUUGUGCAGCAACCGUUAACAGUACAUAUGGACUACACCAGUGCGAUAAUUAGUACAUUACGAUACUAUGUCGAAAAUUUAAAAGGCCAUUUGUACUGUAAAACGUUGUACUUACUAUACAUGUGCGAAUAGGUAAUUCGCAACUCGUGUCAAUUUAAAACACUCCCUUCGGUUGUGUUUUAAUAUAUCGCCACUCGUUGCUAUUUUCCUAUUUUUAACCGACUUCAAUUUCAUAGAAGGAGGAGGUUCAGUAUUCGUUUGUGGCUAUGUUUUUUUUUUUCCUAUUCGCACUAGUAUCGUAAUGUCCUAUUAUGCAUCUCAAUAUAUGUGUAUAGUUCUAGAUACAUGACGCUACUGCACAUCUAAUCACAAUGGAGAAAUAUUAAAUAUAAACACGAAAUGUUUCUAAUAUAAUGAGGAACAACAUUUGUACACAAACAAUUGAUAAUAAAAUAUAUCUUACAUAUUUUUAACAAAAACAAAACAAAUAUUAAUCCCGUUUGUUCUAAAUAAUAAUUAUAAUACAAUGGUAAUUAAUGUCAAUAUAACAAAUAGAGAACACACGGGACUAACCCCAAAAAACUCAUGGACAAAAAUAUAUAACAAUAAUCUAUUUCGACUAGCGAAAGCAUAUAUGUGGCUUCUUUAAACAAAACUUGCUGCCUUAAUCGAAAACUUUGUUAAUAAGAAUCCAGCGUUACAUUACAGAUUCCCCCGACAAAUGAACAUAAUCACAGCACGUGUUUCAAAAUGGCGUUGACUAGAUCGACGGAGUGCUCGUCGACGAGCACGAUGUCGAAGUGUUUGAGGUAGUUGGGCAGGUUGUCGGCG